rnacentral:misc_RNA from 1 species
AAGUCGUAACAAGGUUUCCGUAGGUGAACCUGCGGAAGGAUCAUUAUUGAAUAAAUCUGGCGUUAGGUUGUAGCUGGCUCUCAGGAGCAUGUGCACACCUCGUCACCUUUAUCUUUCCACCCUGUGCACACACUGUAGUCCUGGAUACCUCUCGCCGAAAGGCGGAUGCGGAGCCUGCUGUGACUUUGGAAACAAAGGCCGGCUUGCUCUGAAUUUCCAGGUCUACGAUUUUUAUACACCCCUAAACGAAUGUUAUAGAAUGUAUAUCAUUGGGCCUUUGUGCCUAUAAACCUUAUACAACUUUCAACAACGGAUCUCUUGGCUCUC